rnacentral:rRNA from 1 species
GACGAACGCUGGCGGCGUGCUUAACACAUGCAAGUCGAACGGUAAGGCCCUUCGGGGUACACGAGUGGCGAACGGGUGAGUAACACGUGGGUGAUCUGCCCUGCACUUCGGGAUAAGCCUGGGAAACUGGGUCUAAUACCGGAUAGGACCCUGGGAUGCAUGUCCUGGGGUGGAAAGCUUUUGCGGUGUGGGAUGGGCCCGCGGCCUAUCAGCCUGUUGGUGGGGUGAUGGCCUACCAAGGGGACGACGGGUAGCCGGCCUGAGAGGGUGACCGGCCACACUGGGAAUGAGAUACGGCCCAGACUCCUACGGAGGCAGCGGUGGGGAAUAUUGCACAAUGGGCGCAAGCCUGAUGCAGCGACGCCGCGUGAGGGAUGACGGCCUUCGGGUUGUAAACCUCUUUCAGCAUCGACGAAGCGAAAGUGACGGUAGGUGCAGAAGAAGGACCGGCCAACUACGUGCCAGCCGCCGCGGUAA